GUGAGGAAUCUUGCGCAAUGGGGGAAACCCUGACGCAGCGACGCCGCGUGGAGGACGAAGGCCUUCGGGUCGUAAACUCCUGUCAAGCGGGACGAAUGCCGCGGGGAUGAAUAAGCCCUGCGGUUGACGGUACCGCUGGAGGAAGCCCCGGCUAACUCCGUGCCAGCAGCCGCGGUAAUACGGAGGGGGCCAGCGUUGUUCGGAAUCAUUGGGCGUAAAGGGCGCGUAGGCGGCCCGGCAAGUCAGACGUGAAAUCCCUCGGCUCAACCAAGGAAUUGCGUUUGAAACUGCCGGGCUUGAGUCCCGGAGAGGGCAGUGGAAUUCCCAGUGUAGCGGUGAAAUGCGUAGAUACUGGGAGGAACACCGGUGGCGAAGGCGGCUGCCUGGACGGGUACUGACGCUGAGGCGCGAAAGCGUGGGGAGCAAACAGGAUUAGAUACCCCAGUAGUCC
rnacentral:rRNA from 1 species